UAGUCGUGGAAUAGGGAAGUGGUGUAGCUGUUGCUGCUCUAUAUUUGGCUGUAGGGCUGGUUCUAGUUCAGCUAUAUGUUUAGGUAAUGGCUGGGGUGGUGUAGGUGGUACGUUUGGUGAGGUGGAAUUAAUUAGUGGUGCAAUAUAGCAAGUAUGGGUUCAACCUAAACUAUUACAACCGUCUCUAACUAUCUGCGUGGCCCUCGAAACCAUGGCUCUGAUACCACCUGUGAAGACCCAUGUCAUUAUUAUUAUAGAUAAUGACACUAGUCCUUGGAUUAUUUCUUGACAAAAUAUUGUUUUGUCAAAUAAUAAUCCAUGUCAGAGAUAUGCAGCAGGGAAAUAGUUAUAGAUGGUCCUUUAUAUUACAAUACCAUGCCACGCAGGGCUAAAAGUCUCAAGUAGGCUUCUCACAUGUUCGCCAAAUUAUUACAUCUCCUAACACCGGAGUUCCAACUAGAAGUACCAGAUAGAUGAUGAUAAAAUAGUUCCUGGAUUACAUAGCUAGGUCAUAGUUACUUAUUCAUCCCAACCCCCAUAUGUGGCAUCCAGAUCGUACAUAGCACUAGAUGGAUCCACGUCUAGGUCCCCUGUGUAGUUGUAGCCAUCACCAUUGCUCUCCUCACUUGGUGCAGUAGGAUUCUCAUACAAGCUUUGCUCUAUGAAAAAGAUGAUUAAUAGCAAGAGUGAGUACUUUGUACUCAGCAAGCUCAAAAAGCAAAAUGCAACACUCAUGAUAGCUCAAUAUAAAUCAACAAGUCCUACCUCAACUCAACAUCUUUCAAAAUAAACAUUUGUUGCGGAAGUUCAUUUCAAUUUAUAAAAGCUAUCAAACACUCGUAUUGCGAGAUAGACCACUAAUAGGUCCUCGUAGUCUCCAAUCCAAGAGACUGGCAUGAAUUCAUGUUUUUCUUUAACUCUGCAGAGUUUGUAUCACUUUACCCAUAGAGCUCGAAACCAUAAUUGCCAUAUGCAUUUCCUUAGAUGCGAGACAUGGUUAGAACCUAAGCUUUUUCCCAUUGUGUAUAUUAUAUCUCCACCCAGCUAGUGUCACUAGCUGUUGUGUCGGGUUUCGGAACCCGCACUCCACCAACGCUUAAUAUAUAGCGCUUGCUAAUGCACCCAUCCGGCAUUAGCUUGGGACUCAUCGCUCAUCCUACUACUACUUACCCAUGUGGAGAGUAUAAUAACUUGAUGGUAUUGGGCUCAACCCGUCAUAGACGAGACCAUGGUUGAUAUGGUUGUACGACGCAUAAAACGAGUGAAAGUUAUUUAAUAUUAAUAUCAUAGCCAUAUGUAGAGGGCCCCACCUUCUAGUAUAUCCAUUCCGGGCACCCUCUACCCACCAAAUAAUUAUAAAAAAAUGGAUUAGCUGCUCCAUCAGCUAACCCAACUAUUUGCCAACACUCACUCCACACAACUUAUCUCAAAAACAUUUUAUGCAAGCCAAUGAUAAGAUACAACAACAACAACAACAACAAAGCCUUUAGUCCCAAACAAGUUGGGGUAGGCUAGAGGUGAAACCCAUAAGAUCUCGCAACCAACUCAUGGCUCUGGCACAUGGAUAGCAAGCUUCCACGCACCCCUGUCCAUAGCUAGCUCUUUGUCGAUACUCCAAUCCUUCAGGUCUCUCUUAACGGACUCCUCCCAUGUCAAAAUCGGUCGACCCCGCCCUCUCUUAACAUUCUCCGCACGCUUUAGCCGUCCGCUAUGCACUGGAGCUUCUGGAGGCCUGUGCUGAAUAUGCCCAAACCAUCUCAAACAAUGUUGGACAAGCUUCUCCUCAAUUGGUGCUACCCCAACUCUAUCUCGUAUAUCAUCAUUCCGGACUCGAUCCUUCCUCGUGUGGCCACACAUCCAUCUCAACAUACGCAUCUCCGCCACACCUAACUGUUGAACAUGUCGCCUUUUAGUCGGCCAACACUCCGCGCCAUACAACAUUGCGGGUCGAACCGCCGUCCUGUAGAACUUGCCUUUUAGCUUUUGUGGCACUCUCUUGUCACAGAGAAUGCCAGAAGCUUGGCGCCACUUCAUCCAUCCGGCUUUGAUUCGAUGGUUCACAUCUUCAUCAAUACCCCCAUCCUCCUGCAACAUUGACCCCAAAUACCGAAAGGUGUCCUUCUGAGGUACCACCUGGCCAUCAAGGCUAACCUCCUCCUCCUCACAGCUAGUAGUACUGAAACCGCACAUCAUGUACUCGGUUUUAGUUCUACUAAGCCUAAACCCUUUCGAUUCCAAUGUUUGUCUCCAUAACUCUAACUUCCUAUUUACCCCCGUCCGACUAUCGUCAACUAGCACCACAUCAUCCGCAAAGAGCAUACACCAUGGGAUAUCUCCUUGUAUACCCCUUGUGACCUCAUCCAUCACCAAUGCAAAAAGAUAAGGGCUCAAAGCUGACCCCUGAUGCAGUCCUAUCUUAAUCGGGAAGUCAUCGGUGUCGACAUCACUUGUUCGAACACUUGUCACAACAUUAUUGUACAUGUCCUUGAUGAGGGUAAUGUACUUUGCUGGGACUUUGUGUUUCUUUAAGGCCCACCACAUGACAUUCCGCGGUAUCUUAUCAUAGGCCUUCUCCAAGUCAAUAAACACCAUAUGCAAGUCCUUAUGCUCCCUAUAUCUCUCCAUAAGUUGUCGUACCAAGAAAAUGGCUUCCAUGGUCGACCUCCCAGGCAUGAAACCAAACUGAUUUUUGGUCACGCUUGUCAUUCUUCUUAAGCGGUGCUCAAUGACUCUCUCCCAUAGCUUCAUUGUAUGGCUCAUCAGCUUAAUUCCACGGUAGUUAGUACAACUCUGAACAUCCCCCUUGUUCUUGAAGAUUGGUACUAAUAUACUCCGUCUCCAUUCUUCUGGCACCUUGUUUGCCCGAAAAAUGAGGUUGAAAAGCUUGGUUAGCCAUACUAUCGCUAUGUCCCCGAGACCUUUCCACACCUCAAUGGGGAUACAAUCAGGGCCCAUCGCCUUGCCUCCUUUCAUCCUUUUUAAAGUCUCCUUCACCUCAGACUCCUGGAUGCGCCGCACAAAACGCAUGCUGGUCUCAUCAAAGGAGUCAUUCAGUUCAAUGGUAGAACUCUCAUUCUCCCCAUUGAACAGCUUGUCGAAGUACUCCCGCCAUCUAUGCUUAAUCUCUUCGUCCUUCACCAAGAGUUGGCCUGCUCCGUCCUUGAUGCAUUUGACUUGGCCAAUAUCCCUCGUCUUCCUCUCCCGGAUCUUAGCCAUCUUAUAGAUGUCCCUUUCACCUUCCUUCGUGCCUAACCGUUGGUAGAGGUCCUCAUAUGCCCGACCCCUUGCUUCACCAACAGCUCGCUUUGCGGCCUUCUUCGCCAUCUUGUACUUCUCUAUGUUGUCUGCACUCCUAUCCAGGUAUAGGCGUCUGAAGCAAUCUUUCUUCUCUUUAAGCGCCUUCUGGACAUCAUCAUUCCACCACCAGGUAUCCUUAUCUUCCCUUCUCCUUCCCCUGGACACUCCAAACUCCUCCGAGGCCACCUUACGAAUGCAAGUCGCCAUCUUCAUCCACACAUUGUCCGCAUCCCCUCCUUCCUCCCAAGGGCCCUCCUUAAAUACCCUCUCCUUGAACACCUGAGCUACCUCCCCCUUGAGCUUCCACCACUUCGUUCUAGCGACCUUGGCACGCUUAUUCCGCUGGACACGAAUCCAAAAGCGGAAGUCAACAACCACCAGCUUAUGCUGGGGUACAACACUCUUCCCAGGUAUCACCUUACAGUCUAGGCACGCACGCCUAUCUUCUCUUCUCGAGAGGAUGAAAUCAAUCUGGCUAGAGUGUUGGCCACUACUAAAAGUCACCAGAUGUGAUUCUCUCUUUCUAAAGAGGGUGUUAGCUACAAUCAUGUUGUAGGCUAGAGCAAAGCUUAAGACAUCUUCUCCUUCUUGAUUCCUGAUGCCAUAGCCAAAGCCCCCAUGCGCCCCUUCAAAACCUGUGUUAGAUGUACCCACGUGGCCAUUGAGGUCUCCUCCUAUGAAGAGCUUCUCACCAAUCGGUACACUCCUAACCAUGUCUUCCAAGCCUUCCCAGAACUCCCUCUUGGUGUUCUCAUUGUGGCCUACUUGCGGGGCAUAUGCGCUGAUAACAUUGAGAACCAAGUCCUCAGCUACCAGCUUGACCAGGAUAAUCCGGUCCCCACGUCUCCUGACGUCUACCAGUCCAUACUUGAGGCUCUUGUUGAUCAAGAUGCCUACGCCAUUUCUGUUUGCAGCCGUCCCCGUGUACCACAGCUUGAAGCCGGUAUCCUCCACCUCCUUCGCCUUCUGUCCUCUCCAUUUGGUUUCUUGGACGCAAAGGAUAUCAACACCUCUCCUCACUGCUGCAUCAACUAGCUCCCGAAGCUUCCCUGUCAGAGACCCUACGUUCCAGCUACCUAAGCAAAUCCUCCUAGGCUCGGCUAGCUUCCUUACCCUUCGCACUCGUCGAGUCAAAUGCGAAGACCCUUGCUCAUUUUCCACUACAUCCGGGCGCCGAUGUAGCGCGCCACUAAGGAUGCGACGACCUGAUCCUCGCUCACUUGCCACCGUAUCUGGAUCAAGAUACGGCGCGCCACUUGGGGGGUGACGGCCCGGCCCUUGCCCAUUUUCCACCACACCGGGUUCCGAUGUGGCGCGUCGCUGAGAGGGUUACGCCCCAACGAAAAUUUUUGGGUUUCAUCUCCAUAAGGGUGGCUGAGUUUUUACGUUGGCUCGCCAAGCCUAUCACAACCCUCCUCCUUUACCCGGGCUUGGGACCGGUUAUGUUGAGACAACAUAGGCGGAGUCAACGAUAAGAUACAUCAGAGAUUUUUUUUUGAAAAUAGUUCUAGUCAGCAUGAUCAAGAAGAGCUUGCGUGAGUUGUCGUACUCAGACCCGGACUCGAUUUGCUUUUGUAGCGCCUCCUUCUUUGGACUGUACUCGCUUCCUGCGGUUCGGCAAAUAUAUAUAUUUCGAGACUAAGUCGAGUGAAUACGAGGGAAAUAAAAAUAUACGUCGGUGAAGUGUGGUCAUCCUACAGUCAAACAUUAUUAUUUCUUUUAUUACCUAGUAUUCUUUUUACUAAGCUUGCAUUAGUAGGUGGAUUUAGAAUAGAUAAUUAUUAGAUGUGCACCUGAUAAUUACUAGACCACAAUUCUACACGUGCCCUCUCCCUUUCUCAAUUUCCAAGUCUCUCUCUCCUGUACUAGUCCUCCACCGAACACAACACACACCAGUACUAGUCCACCAAGAACAGAACACACGUACAUGUCUUCUCUCCCUCCUAUUCCUCUGCUCCUAAACUAGCCAGACCGGCCAUGCCGCCGGUGACGGGGAAACAUGCUGCUCCGCCGCUGCCGGACCUUCCACCCUCUCUCUCUCCCCUGAUCCAAAUCCCUAUUUUUUUUUUCAGGAUUCAGCCCCAAACUCUCUAAUCCCCUCUCAGAUUUGACUUGCAGGUGAGGCUCUUAUCGGGCUUUGAUUUCGCUGCUCCAGAUCGAAGCUCCCGGCGUUGGCGGCCGCGGUGCGCUGGGUGUUGCAGAUCAGAGUUCAAAGGCAUAGCCAUGGAGCAUAUCGAGCAUAAGUGCAGGUUAGUGAUGCGCUUGUUCCUCUCCCUAUUUUUUUAUGCUCAAGUACUCAGAUUUAGUAAAUUAAUCUAGUCUCAUGUGCAUGUGUGUGUACUGAACCAAUUUCUCUUGUGCAAGAUGUGGGUGUACUAAUGUUGUACAAUAUCUUGUCUCCUUUUAUUAUACUUGCUUAAGGCACUAUCCAUGCUUUCUUGUACUGUUGAUUUUAAGAUCUGUGAUAGUUGAUACUACUGGAAUGAUUUAGCUUUUGUGUGCAUCUGUGAAGAACUAGUGAGGAAUAUUGUGGGUGCAUCUGGGUUGGGCUUCUUUGUGAGUGUGAGUGCUAAAGGAAUGACAGAAGAACUCACCUUUCUUCUUUUGCCUUCUCUGCUGUUUCUUCUAGUGCUGCUCCUACUUCCAGAUCCCAGUCUAGUUGGCUAACUUCUUGUUCUAGCCUUCCUCCUUUGAUCUACUAUGAUUUCUCAGGUCACCAUCUCUACUUAUUGUUCUUGGAUCUUUGUUGGUUGCAGAUAGAAAGACUAAGACAGUGGGAGGAAGACAAGUUGCUGGUUUGGCUUUUUGGGGAAGAAUGGAGACGACGUGUGAAGUCUUGGCAAUGGCUUGCUCUGCUCUCUCUCCUUUUAAUAUCAGAAAACCCUCUUCCUUGGCUGGUAUGGCUGCCCAUCCCUUCUUUACCGUGUUGCCUUUGUGGAGCCUUUCUAUUGGCUAGGAGUUGCAGCCCAUGCCUAGACCAACUGUUGGUCAAUUGACUACUGAUAUACAUAUUAUGCACGUGAUGGUGGUGGUCAAAUGUGUAUCUCAAAUGUGUCUUGCUGUCCUGGUUGACUCAGAGAUAUUUUUUUGUUGGUCUAAGUUUGAUGUGGCAUUGUUGUAUAGCUUAGCAUAGUCUGGUCUCCCUAUAUUUUUUUUGUUUCCAAAGAUUUGUAAUAUAACUGUACAACUAUACUGUUUGAGAUGUGUGAAUAUAAAUAUAUAUUUGAGUGGUUAUGCUUGUUGAAGAAAUCUGAAAUGUAUUUUUUUAGGAUGCUUAAUAAAUUGUACUUAAUUAUCUAAUUAAGGGUGGAAUUACUAUGUGACAAAAAUACGAGUCGUUACUGAUGGAUAAGUCUGUGUACUAGGGUCCUUGUGGGGCUGCAGCACAUGGUCCUUGUGGCAGUUAGGAGGAUAAAGUCCUGGACCAUCAAGGACUGGCUGUUAGGAUAGAGUUCUGUUCUUGACCAUCAAGGACUGUCAGUU
rnacentral:lncRNA from 1 species